rnacentral:rRNA from 1 species
UACGUAGGUGACAAGCGUUGUCCGGAUUUACUGGGCGUAAAGAGCGCGCAGGCGGUCGUAUAAGUCGAAUGCGAAAGCCCCUGGCUCAACUAGGGAGAGUCAUUCGAUACUGUUCGACUCGAAGGCAGGAGAGGGAAGUGGAAUUCCGGGUGUAGUGGUGAAAUGCGUAGAUAUUGGGAAGAACACCGGUGGCGAAGGCGGCCUGCUGGGCAGUUGCUGACACUGAGGCGCGACAGCGUGGGGAGCAAACAGG